ensembl:lincRNA
GUUUUUAUUUAACAGUUCAUCAUGGAUAUUGUUUCAGUGCAGUAUUUCUAUAUCAAAAUCCAAAAUUCAAGAUUGUUAUAUUUAACCAAUCCCCUAUGUUUUUUUUUUUUUUUUUUUUGGUUUUUCUCCGGUACCGGGAACCGAACUCACGACCUUGCACUUGCCAGGCAGGUGCUUUGCCGCUGAGCUAAAUCCCCAGCCCCUAACCAAUCCCCUAUGGAUAGAAAUUUAGAAUUUCUAACUUUCUAGAAUUUCCAGAAUUCUAAAUUCUAAAUUUUUAAGAUUUUCUUAAUUAGAAAAAACUGAAAUGAAUACUUCUGAACAUCUUUAUGCACAUGUGUUUCUGCAGACUACAUACCCAAGAGUAGAUCACUUGGUACAAAUCGUGACAAAUACAGUCACAUGGCUCCCAACACCCAGGCAGCAAUAUGUACUCUCAACAGUUUGGUACAGGAGUUCCUAUUUCCCCUUGCCACUACCCGGUACAUUUACACUGUGUUUUGAAAAUAAUAUAUUGAGUGUAAAAUGAUAACUGAUGGAAGACAGAAGAUGCUGAGCUACAUAUAUACAACGAUUUUAAAGUGGCCGUGACUAAUUGCCUCUUAUUCCUGAAAAAUAGCGACCCUGUCUGAAGAAGCUGAAUUUUACUAUGUCACACUCUAACCUUCAGGUGUUUCUUAAUCCAGAAAAAUUAAUUAUUCCUAUUUUUAGAAUAAAUCCCUGUGGCCCAAGAAUGGUGAUUUGUACAUGUUUCCAGUUAGAUAUUUUAUUCUGAUAGUUAUUUAUUACUUCUAUAUUUGAUUACCGGGGUGAUUUUCACAGCAGUUUCGGAAUCCCUUAACAUUCUAGUUCUCUUUCCACAAGACAAAGUCUGCCCCUCUCCAAACCUUUUUCUUAGAUGUUGCGAUUAUUGCUGCAAUUUCUCUUCACCUCUCAUGCUAGAUUCUAGACAAACAAUUAUCUACAGUAUCAUCACAUAACAGAGGCUCUUUUAAACUUAGAGGAUUUUUUAAAGCACCCAGUCAUUCUAUCCUCUUAGUUUUUUUCUUUUCUGUUUUUGAAACAGGGUCUAGCCUUGAACUCUCUUGGUAAUCCUCCUGCCUCAGACUCCUGAGUGCUGAGAUUACAGGCAUGAGCCACCACACCUGGCCUAAUCUCUUAUUUUUAAAUUGCUUUUUCUUUCCCAGUUUAGUCUCACACUGCGUGUAGAAACUGUCAUCCAAGCUCCGGUACCAGACAAGUCAAAACUGCACAUGCACCUUGCAUACCUCUCCUGAUUAAGGUUGCUCAGCAAGUACACACCUUGUGACUCUACACUUUGUCCUUUCCCAAGGAUCCUGGGGCUGCUGCUGCUGUCCAAAUAGGGAAGACAUUAUCUAACAUUUAUCUGGUCCAGCCGUCUUCUCAACUUGGCCAAACCAAGAAGAAAUGCUUUUUUUGCUUUGCCAUUAAUUUUCUCUUUGUUAAUUAAACUUAGGAGCUGCAGAUGAUCAAAUCUACUCUACUGGGAGUCCCAGGAUCAAGCUUCUUCCUGGUCCCUAGUAACAGAUCAUGACACUCUUUAAAUUUUUAUCUAUAAAACCAUCUUUGGUUGAAGGUCCUCUGUAAAAAAGGAAUGCUUUACUGUUAUUAUCUUUAUAAAUCUGCCAUGGAAUAAACAAAUACUAACAGAGAAGGAAGACAUGAUAGCAUUAUUGGAAGACAUGAUAGCAUUAUUAGCAUCACAAGACAUAAUAGCAAAUAAUGAUAGCAUUAUUUCUACCAGUGUGCA